AGAGUUUGAUUAUGGCUCAGGACGAACGCUGGCGGCGUGCUUCAUACAUGCAAGUCGAACGAGAAGCUGACUUCGGUCAGUGGAAAGUGGCGGACGGGUGAGUAAUAUGUAGAGAAUCUGCCCUUGAGUGGGGGACAACAGAGGGAAACUUCUGCUAAUACCCCAUAUGAGCUAACUUGAAAUAGUUAUCUUGAAAACUCCGGUGCUCAAGGAUGAGUCUGCAUCUGAUUAGCUAGUUGGCGGUGUAAUGGACCACCAAGGCGACGAUCAGUAGCUGGUUUGAGAGGAUGAUCAGCCACAAUGGGACUGAGACACGGCCCAUACUCCUACGGGAGGCAGCAGUAGGGAAUUUUGCGCAAUGGGCGAAAAAGCCUGACGCAGCAACGCCGCGUGAACGAUUAAGCCCUUCGGGGUGUAAAGUUCUGUCAGUAGGGACGAAUUUUGACGGUACCUACAGAGGAAGCACCGGCUAACUCCGUGCCAGCCGCCGC
rnacentral:rRNA from 1 species